CGUUUGGUUCUAUUUUGUUGGUUUCUAGGACCAUCGUAAUGAUUAAUAGGGACGGUCGGGGGCAUCAGUAUUCAAUUGUCAGAGGUGAAAUUCUUGGAUUUAUUGAAGACUAACUACUGCGAAAGCAUUUGCCAAGGACGUUUUCAUUAAUCAAGAACGAAAGUUAGGGGAUCGAAGAUGAUCAGAUACCGUCGUAGUCUUAACCAUAAACUAUGCCGACUAGGGAUCGGGUGGUGUUUUUUUA
rnacentral:rRNA from 1 species